AGCUAAUCCUGGUCGGACAUCAGGAGGUUAGUGCAAUGGCAUAAGCUAGCUUGACUGCGAGCGUGACGGCGCGAGCAGGUGCGAAAGCAGGUCAUAGUGAUCCGGUGGUUCUGAAUGGAAGGGCCAUCGCUCAACGGAUAAAAGGUACUCCGGGGAUAACAGGCUGAUACCGCCCAAGAGUUCAUAUCGACGGCGGUGUUUGGCACCUCGAUGUCGGCUCAUCACAUCCUGGGGCUGAAGUAGGUCCCAAGGGUAUGGCUGUUCGCCAUUUAAAGUGGUACGCGAGCUGGGUUUAGAACGUCGUGAGACAGUUCGGUCCCUAUCUGCCGUGGGCGCUGGAGAAUUGAGGGGGGCUGCUCCUAGUACGAGAGGACCGGAGUGGACGCAUCACUGGUGUUCGGGUUGUCAUGCCAAUGGCACUGCCCGGUAGCUAAAUGCGGAAGAGAUAAGUGCUGAAAGCAUCUAAGCACGAAACUUGCCCCGAGAUGAGUUCUCCCUGAGACUUUAAGUCUCCUGAAGGAACGUUAAAGACGAUGACGUUGAUAGGCCGGGUGUGUAAGCGCAGCGAUGCGUUGAGCUAACCGGUACUAAUGAACCGUGAGGCUUAACCUU
rnacentral:rRNA from 1 species